rnacentral:rRNA from 1 species
CGUGUCCCGUAGGGAACCCGUGAAGCGAGCCACCUUGGGAAGUACGGCCGCAAGGCUUAAACUUAAAGGAAUGGCCGGGGGAGCACCACCAACGGGUGGAGCUUGCGGUUUAAUUGGAUUCAACGCCGGGAAAUCUUACCGGGACCGACAGCAAUAUGAAGCCCAGGCUGAAGACUUUGCCGGAUUAGCUGAGAGGUGGUGCAUGGCCGUCGUCAGUUCGUACUGUGAAGCAUCCUGUUAAGUCAGGCAACGAGCGAGACCCACGCCCACAGUUGCCAGCGUACUCUCUGGAGUGACGGGUACACUGUGGGGACCGCCGCUGCUAAAGCGGAGGAAGGAAUGGGCAACGGUAGGUCAGUAUGCCCCGAAUAUCCCGGGCUACACGCGAGCUACAAUGGUUGGUACAAUGGGUAUCUACCCCGAAAGGGGACGGGAAUCUCCUAAAACCAAUCUUAGUUCGGAUUGAGGGCUGCAACUCGCCCUCAUGAAGCUGGAAUCCGUAGUAAUCGCGUUUCAACAGAACGCGGUGAAUACGUCCCUGCUCCUUGCACACACCGCCCGUCAAACCACCCGAGUAGGGUCUGAAUGAGAGCGCUUUCUUUGGAGGCGUUCGAAUUUGGGCUUUGCAAGGGGGGUU